UAUAUUCGUAUCUUGGUUCGUGACCCCCUUCGGGCGUGUGUUGCAACCGUACGUUAUAUGCACUGGUCUCCGAUAGCAACGAACGUGACCGUACUCUAUUGUUGCAGCGAAUAUAUGUGUCCUUGUGGCGCGUAUUACCGCUGCUUAGUGUGUGUCACAUCCUCGUGGUGUGACCGCACAUUAAACUAUAGAGACCGCUGUUUCUUCUUUAAACCAGAGGAAGGAUACGGCAAUAACAGGUCUGUGAUGCCCUCAGAUGUUCCGGGCUGCACACGUGCUACAAUGAUCAUUGCACUGUGCAUCUAACCCAAUGUGCGUGGACGCCACGUAUUGUAUCCGCUUCGGUGGUUGCAGUACUGUUGGUCGACCACGCCGAACCUACUUCGAAAGUAAACAUUUCUCAGUGGGUAAUCCAUUAGAAGUAAUGACUCGCAUAGACCUUGGUACACUUUAUAUGUACGCGCAGGUUCUACCCGGCCUUGCCUUUGUGUAGGGUGCAGUGCGUAGCUUGUUGUUUUCGUACGUACCACUCCGUAUUAAUUCAUACGUGGGGAUAGAUCAUUGUUUAAUUGUUGGUCUCGGUCUUAACUAGGAAUGCCUUGUACGGGUCUUUGGUUCAACAUACCACCCGGAAUACGUCCCUGCCCUUUGUACACACCGCCCGUCGCUCUUACCGAUGGAUUAUACUAUGAAUCUAUAGGACUGCCAAAGUGACCCUCGCGGCGCUUAGUGGAAAUAUAUA
rnacentral:rRNA from 1 species